rnacentral:rRNA from 1 species
GUACACGCUGUGACUAGCAUAUCAAUAAGCGGAGGAAAAGAAACUAACAAGGAUUCCCCUAGUAACGGCGAGUGAAGCGGGAAGAGCUCAAAUUUGAAAUCUUAAAGGGUUUCCCUUUACGAAUUGUAGUUUAAAGAAGUGUUUUCUGUUGAGGUUUUGGUAAAAGUUCUUUGGAAUAGGACAUCAUAGAGGGUGAGAAUCCCGUAUUUGACCUUUACUUUCAACUUUAUGUGAUACACUUUCAAAGAGUCGGAUUGUUUGGGAAUGCAGUCCAAAAUAGGUGGUAAAUUUCAUCUAAAGCUAAAUAUUGGCGAGAGACCGAUAGCGAACAAGUACCGUGAGGGAAAGAUGAAAAGAACUUUGAAAAGAGAGUUAAACAGUACGUGAAAUUGUCAAAAGGGAAGCGUUUGACACCAGUGUUGUUUUUCUGAAAAUCAAUUAAAGAACUGUUUAUGCUAAGCUGUUUAGACUUUAUCAGCUAUCUGUUUAGUUUUGAGCUUUUCUUUAAUGCACUUUUCAGUUAACAAGUCAACAUCAAUUUCUUUUGCUGUAAAAAGCUUGAGGAAGGUGGCUUGAGAUUCGUCUUAAGUGUUUAUAGCCUCUUGCCUAUGCAGUCGGAGAGAUUGAGGUCUGCAGCGUAGAUCCUUCGGGGCUAAAUGCAUUUGUGCUAAGUUAUAGCAUUUUAUAGACAACGUGUUGACUAUGAUUUGUCUUGUAGCUUACUCGCUUAUGUUAUUUUACCUACGCUUAGGAUGUUGAAGAUGUAGCACAUCA